rnacentral:misc_RNA from 1 species
UCGGGGAUGGCCUGUGUUGGCAGCACCUCUGCUAUUGCAGCUGUUGCCAUCUCCUCCCGCUCUCAAAAUGGCCUGGGGGCAACAAAAGCAUCAUCAUUUCUGGGAGGGAAGAAAUUAGUACAAGGUAAGCGGAAGGUUGCAUCCACCGGGCGACGUGCUUUCUCGGUGUCAGCAGCCUCUACUUCACCUUCACCUGCACCAGACAGACCCCUCUGGUUCCCGGGCAGCAUCCCUCCUCCGUGGCUCGACGGCAGCCUUCCAGGAGAUUUUGGUUUUG